rnacentral:tRNA from 1 species
AUCUCGAUAGCUCAGUUGGCAGAGCGGAGGUCUGUAGAUAUAAUUAAGAGGUGAUCCUUAGGUCUCUGGUUCAAAUCCGGCUCGAGGGA